AGCAGCCGCGGUAAUUCCAGCUCCAAUAGCGUAUAUUAAAGUUGUUGCAGUUAAAAAGCUCGUAGUUGAACUUCGGGGUUUACCCAUUGGUCAGGCUUAAUUGUCUGUACUGGUGAGAUGAAUCUCUACCUUCUGAGGAACUUUCAUGCCAUUUAUUUGGUGUGAUUGGAAAUCAGGACUGUUACUUUGAAAAAUUAGAGUGUUUAAAGCAGGCUAACGUCUGAAUACAUUAGCAUGGAAUAAUGAAAUAGGACGGACUGAUUCUAUUUCGUUGGUUUCUAGGAUCACCGUAAUGAUUAAUAGGGAUAGUUGGGGGCAUUAGUAUUCAAUUGUCAGAGGUGAAAUUCUUGGAUUUAUUGAAGACUAACUACUGCGAAAGCAUUUGCCAAGGAUGUUUUCAUUAAUCAAGAACGAAAGUUAGGGGAUCGAAGACGAUCAGAUACCGUUGUA
rnacentral:rRNA from 1 species